AUAAGGGACGGUAGAAAGGUGGUUUCAUGGCUAUGUAACCCCCAGGCACCAAUGGAAGAUUUAAACGGGUCCCUGGAAAAACACAAGACAUGCACAUAUUAGUUUCAACUUUCUCACCAUAGCCUACUCUAGUACUGUCAAAGUACAUUAUGAUUACCAGAGGUCUCCGAUUGUGUUUUCAUUUCCAUGCUCCAUGAUGGAGUCUUCUCUUCCUUCAGCAGAUCCCAGACCUCAACUCUGUCUGAAAACCCGAGCGUUAAACAUGACUCACUGAUGAAGACAUCGGUACAGCCAUCAGUGUGUUUCAUAGGGACACCACAGGACUCAUUGGAGGAGGGGACUGCACCGAAACCUGCCAGAGGUCCUUCAGAAGUGCCACGCCAUUGGCUGUGAUGAAGGAGGCCCUCUUGGCCUUGCCUGCAGCAUGGAUAAGAGCCUCCACUGCAACCUGCUGGUGUGUGACAUCUUUGGAGGCACACAGAGAGAUCACUGCAUCCAUCAUUCCCGACAUCUCUAGAGUACUGUUGCCCACCUCGCUCGGUCCUUGGAGGAGCACAGAUACUGUCUGGAUGGCCCGCAGCUUGGCUUCCAGGCCAGAACGACUGAAGUGUUGCCUUCCAAGAAAAAGAACAAAUAAAGAGGCUUUUAAAAGAA